rnacentral:rRNA from 1 species
GCUGUAAGUAAGCUUUGAUCCAGAGAUUUCCGAAUGGGGAAACCCAGCAUGAGUUAUGUCAUGUUAUCGAUAUGUGAAUACAUAGCAUAUCAGAAGGCACACCCGGAGAACUGAAACAUCUUAGUACCCGGAGGAAGAGAAAGAAAAUUCGAUUCCCUUAGUAGCGGCGAGCGAAAUGGGAAGAGCCCAAACCAACAAGCUUGCUUGUUGGGGUUGUAGGACACUCUAUACGGAGUUACAAAGGACGACAUUAGACGAAUCAUCUGGAAAGAUGAAUCAAAGAAGGUAAUAAUCCUGUAGUCGAAAAUGUUGUCUCUCUUGAGUGGAUCCUGAGUACGACGGAGCACGUGAAAUUCCGUCGGAAUCUGGGAGGACCAUCUCCUAAGGCUAAAUACUCUCUAGUGACCGAUAGUGAACCAGUACCGUGAGGGAAAGGUGAAAAGCACCCCGGAAGGGGAGUGAAAUAGAACCUGAAACCGUGUGCUUACAAGUAGUCAGAGCCCGUUAAUGGGUGAUGGCGUGCCUUUUGUAGAAUGAACCGGCGAGUUACGAUUUGAUGCAAGGUUAAGCAGUAAAUGUGGAGCCGUAGCGAAAGCGAGUCUGAAUAGGGCGUUUAGUAUUUGGUCGUAGACCCGAAACCAGGUGAUCUACCCUUGGUCAGGUUGAAGUUCAGGUAACACUGAAUGGAGGACCGAACCGACUUACGUUGAAAAGUGAGCGGAUGAACUGAGGGUAGCGGAGAAAUUCCAAUCGAACCUGGAGAUAGCUGGUUCUCUCCGAAAUAGCUUUAGGGCUAGCCUCAAGUGAUGAUUAUUGGAGGUAGAGCACUGUUUGGACGAGGGGCCCCUCUCGGGUUACCGAAUUCAGACAAACUCCGAAUGCCAAUUAAUUUAACUUGGGAGUCAGAACAUGGGUGAUAAGGUCCGUGUUCGAAAGGGAAACAGCCCAGACCACCAGCUAAGGUCCCAAAAUAUAUGUUAAGUGGAAAAGGAUGUGGCGUUGCCCAGACAACUAGGAUGUUGGCUUAGAAGCAGCCAUCAUUUAAAGAGUGCGUAAUAGCUCACUAGUCGAGUGACACUGCGCCGAAAAUGUACCGGGGCUAAACAUAUUACCGAAGCUGUGGAUUGUCCUUUGGACAAUGGUAGGAGAGCGUUCUAAGGGCGUUGAAGCAUGAUCGUAAGGACAUGUGGAGCGCUUAGAAGUGAGAAUGCCGGUGUGAGUAGCGAAAGACGGGUGAGAAUCCCGUCCACCGAUUGACUAAGGUUUCCAGAGGAAGGCUCGUCCGCUCUGGGUUAGUCGGGUCCUAAGCUGAGGCCGACAGGCGUAGGCGAUGGAUAACAGGUUGAUAUUCCUGUACCACCUAUAAUCGUUUUA